rnacentral:rRNA from 1 species
AUUGAACGCUGGCGGCAGGCUUAACACAUGCAAGUCGAGCGGUAGCACAGGGGAGCUUGCUCCCUGGGUGACGAGCGGCGGACGGGUGAGUAAUGUCUGGGAAACUGCCUGAUGGAGGGGGAUAACUACUGGAAACGGUAGCUAAUACCGCAUAACGUCGCAAGACCAAAGAGGGGGACCUUCGGGCCUCUUGCCAUCAGAUGUGCCCAGAUGGGAUUAGCUAGUAGGUGGGGUAAUGGCUCACCUAGGCGACGAUCCCUAGCUGGUCUGAGAGGAUGACCAGCCACACUGGAACUGAGACACGGUCCAGACUCCUACGGGAGGCAGCAGUGGGGAAUAUUGCACAAAGGGCGCAAGCCUGAUGCAGCCAUGCCGCGUGUGUGAAGAAGGCCUUCGGGUUGUAAAGCACUUUCAGCGAGGAGGAAGGUGGUGAGCUUAAUACGUUCAUCAACUGACGUUACUCGCAGAAGAAGCACCGGCUAACUCCGUG